AGAGUUUGAUCCUGGCUCAGGAUGAACGCUGGCGGUCUGCUUAACACAUGCAAGUCGAACGCAACCUUUCGGGGUUGAGUGGCGGACGGGUGAGUAACGCGUGAGAAUCUGCCUUUAGGUCCGGGACAACCACUGGAAACGGUGGCUAAUACCGGAUGUGCCGCAACGUGAAAGGGGUUUCCCCGCCUGAAGAUGAGCUCGCGUCUGAUUAGCUAGUUGGUGAGGUAAAGGCUCACCAAGGCGACGAUCAGUAGCUGGUCUGAGAGGAUGACCAGCCACACUGGGACUGAGACACGGCCCAGACUCCUACGGGAGGCAGCAGUGGGGAAUUUUCCGCAAUGGGCGAAAGCCUGACGGAGCAAGACCGCGUGAGGGAAGAAGGCUCUUGGGUCGUAAACCUCUUUUGUCAGGGAAGAACACAAUGACGGUACCUGACGAAUCAGCCUCGGCUAACUCCGUGCCAGCAGCCGCGGUAAUACGGAGGAGGCAAGCGUUAUCCGGAAUUAUUGGGCGUAAAGCGUCCGUAGGUGGCUAGUCAAGUCUGCGGUCAAAGACUGGGGCUUAACCCUGGAAAGGCCGUGGAAACUGACGAGCUAGAGUGCAGUAGGGGUAGAGGGAAUUCCCGGUGUAGCGGUGAAAUGCGUAGAGCUCGGGAAGAACAUCGGUGGCGAAAGCGCUCUACUGGACUGCAACUGACACUCAGGGACGAAAGCUAGGGGAGCGAAUGGGAUUAGAUACCCCAGUAGUCCUAGCCGUAAACGAUGGAUACUAGUGUGGCUUGUAUCGACCCGAGCCGUGCCGAAGCUAACGCGUUAAGUAUCCCGCCUGGGGAGUACGCACGCAAGUGUGAAACUCAAAGGAAUGACGGGGCCCGC
rnacentral:rRNA from 1 species